rnacentral:rRNA from 1 species
UGGGGAAUAUUGGGCAAUGGGCGCAAGCCUGACCCAGCAACGCCGCGUGAGGGAAGAAGGCUUUCGGGUUGUAAACCUCUAUCCUUGGUGACGAAAAAAAUGACGGUAGCCAAGAAGGAAGCCCCGGCAAACUACGUGCCAGCAGCCGCGGUAAUACGUAGGGGGCGAGCGUUGUCCGGAAUUACUGGGCGUAAAGGGUGCGUAGGUGGCCUUUUAAGUUGGAUGUGAAAUACCCGGGCUUAACUUGGGGGGUGCAUCUAAUACUGGAGGGCUUGAAUUCGGGAGAGGGAUGCGGAAUUCCAGGUGUAGCGGUGAAAUGCGUAGAUAUCUGGAGGAACACCGGUGGCGAAGGCGGCAUCCUGGACCGAUAUUGACGCUGAGGCGCGAAAGCCAGGGGAGCAAACG